ensembl:lncRNA
CGACAGGACAGGUUUAUUUCAGAACAAACCUGAGUGGGCUGCUGUGGCGCUGAGACCAAACGGGAUGCUCUCCUCGGGGCUCUGGGGUCCUUUAAAGGAUCAUGGGGGUUGGGGGGCUGGAAGGGGAGGUGGCUGCUGGCUAAGACAAGGCUUGAGAAGGGGUGAGGGAGUGGCCGCCGGCAGUGGCAGGGCUGGCAGAGUGUGGCUGUGUCCUCUGUCAAGACGGCAGGGGCGGGUCCCUCCACCAGGUGCUCCCUCUCAGGCUCAGCCACUGGUCCACACGCUGGUCCACACGCAGGCAGAGGAAGGGCACAGGUCACAGAGCAAGGGGCGGGCGCAUGGCAGCUGGGGUGGCCGCCCAGGGGACAGAGCCACAGGCAUCCUGGUCCAUCUAGCUCACCGGCCAAACGUGCCCUCUGCUGCCCAAGCUGCCAGGGAGCCAGGGGCACAUUCCAAACCAAGUCACUACUGAGAAGAAAGUCACUUCUGACCCUAAAGGAGAGGUGGAGGUCCUGUGAGCAGGAGGCUCUUCCCAGCACGCACUGCACUGCUCCCAGUCACAGAGCUUCCCUCCCCUGGGAGUUGGCUCACUUCCAGCAUACGGUGGAAGGUGAACACGGGCCGCAUUCUGGGCUACAGUAGGGGAGCUCGACACCUAGGAGUGCAGCUGGGAACCUACUAGGAACAGGUUUCUGAAGUGGCUGACACAAGGAGCCAUAGCAAGUUCUUGAUCUGAGGGAAAGUUUUCAAAUGGAUUGCUCUGGAGCCCUCUGGUGAUGAUGAGCUCUGUCCAGGUGUGUGCCUCUGUAUGGGGGGGGGGGGGCUAAACAGCUGGGAAACAUGACCCCUGGAGAGAAGGCAUUUCAUCAGGGACUAGGAUAGGUGCGAUUUGCCGGGCAUGGUGGUGCACACCUGUCAUCCCAGCACUCUGGGAGGCUGAAGCAGGAGGAUCACAAAUUCAAGCCCAGCCUGGGCAACUCAGUGGCUUAGCAAGACCCUGUCUCAAAAAUUAAAAAUAAGAAAAGAGGCCCAGGGAUUUAGCUCAGUGGUACCACCAACGGCCUUACAAGGAAGGUCCUGAGUUCGAUCCCAGGUACCAAAAAAAAAUUUUUAAAAGCUGAGGAUGUAGCUUAGUUCGAUACCCUGCCCUAGCGCGGGGGAGAAGGGUGUGAACUGAUAGGUCAAAGCCAAAGAGUACAUCUGCGUGCCCAGCACCCACUGGGUAGGGCAGGGUAAGCACCACAACAGCGCCCCAGGGACUCUUCGAGGAAUCAUACGGAGCAGAGCUGAGCUGGGCUGGACUGGGAGGCCUUCGCACAGAGCCCGGGCCUGGACUCCACCUCUGGGCAUCUCUAGGGCUCCAUGGAGUUCUGAGCAAGGACAGGCAGUGUACAAAGGACUCGGGGAAACAAGAGGAAGCAAGGGGAAGAGCGAGUGCUCAUGAGACAUCAGCAGGAAGGGGGGACCCAGGGGAGCCCGCCACCGGGAAUGUGAGGAUGGAGGCAGCAUGACUCUGGACACUGCAAGAAGAGGGAUGGACACUGGCAUGAGGUCCUUCAUGCAGAGCACGCAGGAAGCACGGGGGGCUGGCGGAGAGGAAGGGACGCGCACUGUGGGCCGGGGAAAUCCUGGUGUGGAGCUCAGGAUGCAAGUCCUUGCACCUCAGGCCCAGGUCCCCUAGGGUUAGUACUAGUAUUGUUAUACUGCCAGCACCCUACCAUGAGCUACAUCCCCAGCCCUUUCCAAAUUUUUUUUUUUAAUUUUGGGACACAGUCUUGCUAACUUGCCCAGUUUAUCCUCAAAUUUGAUUCUCCUACCUCAGCCUCCCAAAUAGCUGGGUUUAUAGCUGUGUGCCACCACGCCUGGCUCCCAAACCAUGACUGCCCCGUGUCCAUGCCUUUGGACGUGUGAUUCUUUCUGCCAGAAUGCUUUCCACCUCCUACAGCAGCUUACUGCUGUGUACCUGGCAGCCAUGCAUUCACAUGUCACCUCCUCCGGGAAGGCCCCAGGACCUCUUCUAUGUGUUCUCACCUCUCCCAGGGGUCCCUCUGCCCGCCAAGCUGCCUUGAAUCCUUGUCUGUCCCCCCGUGGAGGGCUGGCCUCAGACUUGCUCACCUGUGUCACCAGGGCCUACGCAACGCCUGGCACACAGUAGGUGCUCAAUAGACGUUUGUUGAGUGACUCUGCGAAGCCAAGAGUGUAUCAGAACUCCGAGCUGAGAGUGUGGAGAAGCAGGAGGCUCACGGCUGAAACUUGGGGAGCAAAGGAAGUGGCAGCACAGGGACUCAGGAGCCUGCCCGGCCUGCCCACAGUAGCUUCCACAGGACACCCUCCCGGGGCCUCUCCACUAAGGGGGUCCCCUGCCACCCCUGUCCUGGCGCUGGGCUGGGAAGGGGAAGCAGCCAGGGCUCCCCACAUCCGGGACUGGGGCAGAACAGUGGGAGGGGAGCCCUCCUUGCAACCAUCUUCUCCCGGGGCCAAGGGCGGGGGUCCCGCCGGGGCCAGUGGUGGGCCGGGGCUGUGCAGUCUCUGGGGCCUGGCUGUCCGCACCUGGGCACCUGCUCCCGGCAGCUGGUUCUGUCUGAAAGCUCUGAGCGGGUCUGCUGCCCUGGCUGGCUCCGGCCUGGCCCAGCACACUCCAUCCCGCCUUGCACCGCCCUGGCCGCCCUCGGGAUGACGCAGUCCUGUUUGCAGUCCACUCCAGCUCAACCCGCCUGCCAGACUGGAAGCUCGCUCUGGGCUGCAGGCUCUGUGCUCCCUCCCCAGAGCCAAAAGGAAGAACCUAACAGAGGAACAGACAGAGUUGGACGUGGGGCACACACCUGUGAUCCAGGGCGGCCACGGCAGGAGGAACAAGAGUGACGAAGACGACAAAAACUAAAGGAGGGACAUGCUGGAGGGCAAGAGGUGCUGGGACAGCAUAACCUGAACAAUCUCUCAGGCGGACUAAAUCCUCCAGCAGAGUUGAGGAUGAUGUGGAGAGGACACCGGGGUGGGGAGGCAACCUAGGGGGAAAACCCAUCGGGAAGGAAAAAGAAUUGCAUCAAGCCAGGGCUCCCUAAGAAGGCUCCCUCAGAGAUUGGGACUGCGGUCUCAGGUCUCGGGAAGGUCCGUCCAGUCCCCGCUGCGCCCCGCCCCAGGCCUCCCUCUGCCACAACAUUGCCCUCCCCCGUACCCACGCUGCGCUGACCUCCCCUCCGCCAUCUCCACAGUGAGUGACAGAGCUGGGGCCCCAGGGGCUGGAAGUGUCACCCGCCAGCCGGGCCAUGGGUUGCCCUGGCUGGCACACUGUCCGAGUUGCACGCUGUGAACACUCCCACCUGCCCUACUCCCAGCUGUCCGUCCAUCCCCAGCCCUCCCACAGACCACUGGGUGGUGGCAGUCACAGGGGGGCAGCACCAGCCUUUCCUCUGGGAACGCCCACCCCGUGCUCUUCCCAACACAGGGUCUCACAGGAAUGUAGGCCCCAGGACCUUGAGGCACUUAGAUGAUUUACUGGUCACUUUCUCACUGGACACGGCUGCAUAUCAUGGGCCAGCUGACUGAGGCAGUAAGAGCCAGAAUAUAACUUCCUUUAUCUAAAACAAAUAGAAAAGGACAAAUGAUGCAAGGGCAGCAAAAUCUACUCACUCUUCAUCACCCUUCUGUGGAAGAUGCGUUCAGGCUCUUUUCAGAUCUUGCGUGCACUGGGGCAGGUGCUCUGAGAUCAGCCCUGCUUUUGAAUCCUGGGCCUUUCGUUACAGUGAAGUCACAACCUCAGGCAGGUCACUUCUAUCCACAUCUUGGUUUGCUUGCCUAUGAGACAGGCAUGAUACUAAUAUUACCUACUUUAUGGAGUCAGACUGCAGCUCUCACCUGGGCACAGUAUCACUCCUGUGAGGACAUCCAACAAUGCCUGGAGACAUUUUUUGUCUUGACAUGGAGGGUGGGGUAUGAAUGGUAUUUAGUGGACUGAGGCCAGACAUGCUCUUAAACACUGUACAAAGCACAGGAAGUUCCCCUUUAACAAUGAAUUCUCUAACCCAAAAUGUCAAUAGUGCUAGGUUGAGACACCCUGGAGCACAGUGAAUAUUCAGUGAGGUUACAUGCACAAAGCACUGAGUAAGUGUCUGGCUCACUUUCUGAAGUUCUGGAAAAACAGAAGCUGCUAUUCUUUAGGACUGGCACAGUCUUCCCCUCCUCUUUCCAAAUCUAAAGUGGAUGGGAUGUGAAACCCCCUGAAUACUGAGAAUUUAGCUCACCACUCUCCAGGUGUGAGUCACCCUGUAAAUGUCAACUAUUUCAUUUAAUUCUGAGCUGAGGCUACACAAGUGAGUCAGAGCUAGAAGCCUUCCUGGGCUGUCGAGACUUGGGCAAGGAGGAAAUAAGCCUGGCCGGAGCACUCCUUCCAGAGGUGUGGGAGCUCCUCACUGCUCAGAGGUGCCGCAGAGCCCCCUUGUGUGGGGAGAGGGGUUGGGCUGUUUCUCACCUCACCUCACACACCUUGAGGCUUAGAAAGACCUGAGGAAAAAACAGCUGAAACCAAGAAGCCCUGCUCAUCCCAAACACUUUCCUUGCUAGUGUGCAGUGUGGUCUGUUCUCCCCUGGGACCUGACCUGAAAUUCCUUCUCCAGAGCUGCAGCGCUGGGGCUGGGUCGACAGAGUUCCCUUUGUCACUGCACAUCAGUGCUAGUAGUGCACAGGUGUAGAGGUGGAUGGUCCCGAUGGGGCAGCUGGGCCACUCGAGAGAGUAGGGACCAGAGGAAUGUCCAGGGAAGCUGGAGACACAGGGGUCCUCAGGAAGGAAGGCUGAAAAAGGCCAAGUUAUCCAGAGAGCAUGUGCAGAAUCUGGGCCCACACCAGGACCUUCCUGAGAAGUGGUGUGCCCAGAGGCAAGCAGGUGUGGGAGGGCCAAGACAGGCACCCCAGAUCUGAUACCAACCUGCACAGCUGGCUCAACUCUGACUCUGCCUGAGUCACUGCAGUGCAAAACCCUGUGGUGAACCAGCUCUGGGGGCCCAGCUCUACCUGUCUCUUGGCUCCACCUCCCAGCAGGCCACUGGCAACCAGCACGACCCCCAGAGUCUGCCCGGCUCGGAAGCACAGGCUCUAUAGAAGCCAUGCCUUGUCUGUGGAGGGGGACAAGAUGCAAGACUGAGUGCCUGAGAAUAAGACAACAGGGGUGGGGCCUAUGAGGAGCUGCAGGCUCUGCACAAAGGCACUCAAAACGAGGUGGUACACACCUGUCAUGCCAGCACCUGGGAGGGUGAAGCAGGAGGAUCCCAAGUUCAAGACCAGCCAGGGCUACAACAGUGAGUUCAAGGCCAACCUGGACUACAUAGCAAGACCCUGUCUUGAAAGAAGAAAGAAGCAAACGACAUUGGGC